rnacentral:rRNA from 1 species
GUCGAGCGGCGGACGGGUGAGUAAUGCCUAGGAAAUUGCCCUGAUGUGGGGGAUAACCAUUGGAAACGAUGGCUAAUACCGCAUGAUGCCUACGGGCCAAAGAGGGGGACCUUCGGGCCUCUCGCGUCAGGAUAUGCCUAGGUGGGAUUAGCUAGUUGGUGAGGUAAGGGCUCACCAAGGCGACGAUCCCUAGCUGGUCUGAGAGGAUGAUCAGCCACACUGGAACUGAGACACGGUCCAGACUCCUACGGGAGGCAGCAGUGGGGAAUAUUGCACAAUGGGCGCAAGCCUGAUGCAGCCAUGCCGCGUGUGUGAAGAAGGCCUUCGGGUUGUAAAGCACUUUCAGUCGUGAGGAAGGUAGUGUAGUUAAUAGCUGCAUUAUUUGACGUUAGCGACAGAAGAAGCACCGGCUAACUCCGUGCCAGCAGCCGCGGUAAUACGGAGGGUGCGAGCGUUAAUCGGAAUUACUGGGCGUAAAGCGCAUGCAGGUGGUUUGUUAAGUCAGAUGUGAAAGCCCGGGGCUCAACCUCGGAAUAGCAUUUGAAACUGGCAGACUAGAGUACUGUAGAGGGGGGUAGAAUUUCAGGUGUAGCGGUGAAAUGCGUAGAGAUCUGAAGGAAUACCGGUGGCGAAGGCGGCCCCCUGGACAGAUACUGACACUCAGAUGCGAAAGCGUGGGGAGCAAACAGGAUUAGAUACCCUGGUAGUCCACGCCGUAAACGAUGUCUACUUGGAGGUUGUGGCCUUGAGCCGUGGCUUUCGGAGCUAACGCGUUAAGUAGACCGCCUGGGGAGUACGGUCGCAAGAUUAAAACUCAAAUGAAUUGACGGGGGCCCGCACAAGCGGUGGAGCAUGUGGUUUAAUUCGAUGCAACGCGAAGAACCUUACCUACUCUUGACAUCCAGAGAACUUUUCAGAGAUGGAUUGGUGCCUUCGGGAACUCUGAGACAGGUGCUGCAUGGCUGUCGUCAGCUCGUGUUGUGAAAUGUUGGGUUAAGUCCCGCAACGAGCGCAACCCUUAUCCUUGUUUGCCAGCGAGUAAUGUCGGGAACUCCAGGGAGACUGCCGGUGAUAAACCGGAGGAAGGUGGGGACGACGUCAAGUCAUCAUGGCCCUUACGAGUAGGGCUACACACGUGCUACAAUGGCGCAUACAGAGGGCGGCCAACUUGCGAAAGUGAGCGAAUCCCAAAAAGUGCGUCGUAGUCCGGAUUGGAGUCUGCAACUCGACUCCAUGAAGUCGGAAUCGCUAGUAAUCGUGGAUCAGAAUGCCACGGUGAAUACGUUCCCGGGCCUUGUACACACCGCCCGUCACACCAUGGGAGUGGGCUGCAAAAGAAGUAGGUAG